rnacentral:tRNA from 1 species
GGGGAGGUAUCCUAACCUGGUAGGGAGCUAGCCUCGAAAGCUAGUGGCUAUUGCCUUGGGAAUUCAAAUCUCCCUCCUCCUCGCCA